rnacentral:rRNA from 1 species
GAUGAACGCUAGCGGCAGGCCUAAUACAUGCAAGUCGAGGGGCAGCACGGUAGCAAUACUGGUGGCGACCGGCGCACGGGUGCGUAACGCGUAUGCAACUUACCCUUUACAGGGAGAUAGCCCGGAGAAAUUCGGAUUAAUAUCCCAUAGUAUAUAGAUUUGGCAUCAGAUUUAUAUUAAAGAUUUAUCGGUAAAGGAUGGGCAUGCGUGUCAUUAGCUAGUUGGUGAGGUAAUGGCUCACCAAGGCGACGAUGACUAGGGGUACUGAGAGGUUACACCCCCACACUGGUACUGAGACACGGACCAGACUCCUACGGGAGGCAGCAGUAAGGAAUAUUGGACAAUGGGCGAGAGCCUGAUCCAGCCAUGCCGCGUGCAGGAUGACGGUCCUAUGGAUUGUAAACUGCUUUUGUAUGGGAAUAAACCCAGAUACGUGUAUCUGGCUGAAUGUACCAUAAGAAUAAGGAUCGGCUAACUACCGUGCCAGCA